UACGGAGGGUGCGAGCGUUAAUCGGAAUUACUGGGCGUAAAGCGUGCGUAGGCGGCCUGCCAAGCCAGGUGUGAAAGCCCCGGGCUCAACCUGGGAACGGCACUUGGAACUGGCGGGCUGGAGUUUGGUAGAGGGGGGCGGAAUUCCGGGUGUAGCGGUGAAAUGCGUAGAUAUCCGGAGGAACACCAGUGGCGAAGGCGGCCCCCUGGACCAGAACUGACGCUGAGGCACGAAAGCGUGGGUAGCAAACAGG
rnacentral:rRNA from 1 species